rnacentral:rRNA from 1 species
UGCCAGCAGCCGCGGUAACACGAACCGGACAAACGUUAUUCGGAAUCACUGGGCUUAAAGAGUACGUAGGCGGCCUGGUAAGUUGGGUGUGAAAUCCCACGGCUCAACCGUGGAACUGCGCUCAAUACUGCCAGGCUCGAGGGAGAUAGAGGUGAGCGGAACUGAUGGUGGAGCGGUGAAAUGCGUUGAUAUCAUCAGGAACACCGGUGGCGAAAGCGGCUCACUGGGUCUCUUCUGACGCUGAGGUACGAAAGCUAGGGUAGCGAACGGGAUUAGAUA